rnacentral:lncRNA from 1 species
CUAGGUCAAGGUGGAUUUGGUGAAGUUUACAAGGUAUUCUAACUUUUGCAACUUUUUGAUUCUGUUACUUCACUUGAAAGUUUGAAACUUUGUACCAAUAUGGGUUUGGUUCAUUUUCUUUCACGGUAUACUUCCAAAUGGCAAGUUCUUGACUGAUCAUUAAAUUUUGUUACCAGGCUUGGAGUGUAUGGAGAAGUGGGUCACCCUUAGAACUAGUGGAUCCAACUUGUAGAGAAUUAUCAGAGCAAAGAAGUGACAAGAUGCAUCCAAAUCCAACAGAUCCUCCCAACUUGUCAACAAUCAACCUGUUGCUCACUAGAAAUAUCCUCAAUUUACCUGUAAGGCUGUUCCUCAACCACCAAGAACGAGAUGGCCUCGAGUCUAGCCAAUCGGAGGACUUGUGUCAUUUGUGACUUGAAUAUUCAUGUAAGUUCUCUUACACUAAGUUGUGACUGAAAUUAGACGAAUUUGAUGAAUGUAUGAGUGUCAUUCAAACCGGUUAAUUUACUACACCGUAACUGAUGGCUCCUUCUCUCGUCCCAAAUCAGCUUUUGUGGAUUCUCUGUUUUCACUCAACUCAGUUUGGGAAUUACUGAAAUUAGGUUUAUAUUUUCUAUGUAGACUCCAUUGAGCAUCUUUCACCACUCUGGAUAGUGGAGUUACUAGGUAGAUUGCUCUGCUUUAAAAUUUGGUGUCAUCAAAGUAAAUGACUCCACUUCUUACCAUCAUGUUCCUCAUUUCCAUAUCUGUCAUAUAUAGAAUUUGGAGGCAUGUCAAAGAGAUAAGAAUUGUGAAGCAGAUGAUGAGCCCUUGUAUCUGUCUUGCUCUGUUUUAUCCAAUUAAUUGAUGAUCGUUACCAUUUUGUUUUCGCUCUUUAUGUUACUUUGUCUAAAUGUUUAUUUUUAUGUUUGCUAGAACUGUUGCAUCAUCUCACCAUAGGAGAUUCUACAACGUGUUCUUCUGAGUGCCACAUGAUUCAUUCAUAUAGUUGCAUCAAUCUUUGUAUAAGUACUAAUUUGUUGACUACUCUUGACUUAAAGCAGAAAUUGCACACUAGUCAACCCAAUAAACAUUGAAAAAGACACAGGGACCAAUGGGUCAAGAACAACUUGCAAUGGAAAUUUAAUUGAUGUACAUUGAUAUAUGCUUAUAGAUAUACACACUUGCUUGCUAUUCUAACUCAAACAACAUCUGUAUGAUCUUGAAAAUGAAACUGAAGAAUUUCUUGCCAAUCUUCUUGUUUUUCCUUGUAGGCUUUCCUGUCGUGUCUGCCCACAAAUGCGGGGAAACCGGGUUUUUUUUAU